GUGCCAGCCGCCGCGGUAACACCGGCAGCCCGAGUGAUGGCCGAUCUUAUUGGGCCUAAAGCGUCCGUAGCUGGCCGAGCAAGUUCGUCGGGAAAUCCACGCGCCUAACGUGUGGGCGUCCGGCGAAAACUGUUCGGCUUGGGACCGGAAGACCCGAGGGGUACGUCCGGGGUAGGAGUGAAAUCCCGUAAUCCUGGACGGACCGCCGGUGGCGAAAGCGCCUCGGAAGGACGGACCCGACGGUGAGGGACGAAAGCCAGGGUCUCGAACCGGAUUAGAAACCCUUGUAGUCC
rnacentral:rRNA from 1 species